GGAGCGUUACGAUGAUGGCAGGUUUAAUCCUGCUUAGUCUAGCUUGAGAGCACCGGGCAACCGGUGUCUC
rfam:Lactobacillus rhamnosus MTCC 5462 contig1830, whole genome shotgun sequence.